UACGUAGGGUGCAAGCGUUGUCCGGAAUUAUUGGGCGUAAAGAGCUCGUAGGCGGUUUGUUGCGUCGGCUGUGAAAACCUGAGGCUCAACCUCAGGCCUGCAGUCGAUACGAGCAGACUAGAGUGUUGCAGGGGAGACUGGAAUUCCUGGUGUAGCGGUGAAAUGCGUAGAGAUCCGGAGGAACACCGACGGGCGAAGGCAGCCUUCUGGAAAGUACCUGACGCUGAGGGGCGAAAGCUAGGGGAGCGAACGGG
rnacentral:rRNA from 1 species